rnacentral:rRNA from 1 species
GACGGAGGGUGCAAGCGUUAUCCGGAAUGAUUGGGCGUAAAGCGUCCGCAGGCGGCAGUUCAAGUCUGCUGUCAAAGACCGGGGCUUAACUUCGGAAAGGCAGUGGAAACUGAACAGCUAGAGUAUGGUAGGGGCGGAGGGAAUUCCUGGUGUAGCGGUGAAAUGCGUAGAGAUCAGGAAGAACAUCGGUGGCGAAGGCGGUCUGCUGGGCCAUAACUGACACUCAGGGACGAAAGCGAGGGGAGCGAAUGGG